ACUGGCGGCGUGCUUACACAUGCAAGUCGAACGGUGAAGCCAAGCUUGCUUGGUGGAUCAGUGGCGAACGGGUGAGUAACACGUGAGCAACCUGCCCUGGACUCUGGGAUAAGCGCUGGAAACGGCGUCUAAUACUGGAUAUGAGACGUGAUCGCAUGGUCGUGUUUGGAAAGAUUUUUCGGUCUGGGAUGGGCUCGCGGCCUAUCAGCUUGUUGGUGAGGUAAUGGCUCACCAAGGCGUCGACGGGUAGCCGGCCUGAGAGGGUGACCGGCCACACUGGGACUGAGACACGGCCCAGACUCCUACGGGAGGCAGCAGUGGGGAAUAUUGCACAAUGGGCGAAAGCCUGAUGCAGCAACGCCGCGUGAGGGAUGACGGCCUUCGGGUUGUAAACCUCUUUUAGCAGGGAAGAAGCGAAAGUGACGGUACCUGCAGAAAAAGCGCCGGCUAACUACGUGCCAGCAGCCGCGGUAAUACGUAGGGCGCAAGCGUUAUCCGGAAUUAUUGGGCGUAAAGAGCUCGUAGGCGGUUUGUCGCGUCUGCUGUGAAAUCCCGAGGCUCAACCUCGGGCCUGCAGUGGGUACGGGCAGACUAGAGUGCGGUAGGGGAGAUUGGAAUUCCUGGUGUAGCGGUGGAAUGCGCAGAUAUCAGGAGGAACACCGAUGGCGAAGGCAGAUCUCUGGGCCGUAACUGACGCUGAGGAGCGAAAGGGUGGGGAGCAAACAGGCUUAGAUACCCUGGUAGUCCACCCCGUAAACGUUGGGAACUAGUUGUGGGGACCAUUCCACGGUUUCCGUGACGCAGCUAACGCAUUAAGUUCCCCGCCUGGGGAGUACGGCCGCAAGGCUAAAACUCAAAGGAAUUGACGGGGACCCGCACAAGCGGCGGAGCAUGCGGAUUAAUUCGAUGCAACGCGAAGAACCUUACCAAGGCUUGACAUAUACGAGAACGGGCCAGAAAUGGUCAACUCUUUGGACACUCGUAAACAGGUGGUGCAUGGUUGUCGUCAGCUCGUGUCGUGAGAUGUUGGGUUAAGUCCCGCAACGAGCGCAACCCUCGUUCUAUGUUGCCAGCACGUAAUGGUGGGAACUCAUGGGAUACUGCCGGGGUCAACUCGGAGGAAGGUGGGGAUGACGUCAAAUCAUCAUGCCCCUUAUGUCUUGGGCUUCACGCAUGCUACAAUGGCCGGUACAAAGGGCUGCAAUACCGUGAGGUGGAGCGAAUCCCAAAAAGCCGGUCCCAGUUCGGAUUGAGGUCUGCAACUCGACCUCAUGAAGUCGGAGUCGCUAGUAAUCGCAGAUCAGCAACGCUGCGCAAUGCG
rnacentral:rRNA from 1 species